AACUCAAAAACUUAGUCUCAGUUCGGAUUGUAGGCUGAAACUCGCCUACAUGAGGCUGGAGUUGCUAGUAAUCGCGAAUCAGCAUGUCGCGGUGAAUACGUUCCCGGGCCUUGUACACACCGCCCGUCACACCAUGAGAGUUGGCAAUACCCAACGUACGUGAUCUAACCCGCAAGGGAGGAAGCGUCCUAAGGUAGGGUCAGCGAUUGGGGUGAAGUCGUAACAAGGUAAC
rnacentral:rRNA from 1 species